UAUUAAGAUAUAAUACUAAAUCAUGUUUGCUGAUUUCUUUAAUUUUCUGUGUUAAAUUACUUAUAUAACCUAUAAAUUUAUAAAACCUAUAACCUAUAAAUCAGUCAAAUAAUAUGGCUACCUGGAUUACAGUGACACCGCGGCUUGAACAAGGUUUGAAAAUAGCAAAUCAAAUAGACAAUGGUAAAUUUCGCUUAUUAAUAAAUCGUAUUUGUCAAACACUUCAAUCCAAUAUUAAUACAAAAAUAUUCAAUGAAGAGGAAGAAGAAAAACUAUUAAUUUCUUUGGAUUUAAAUAAAAAUGAUUUAGUUUGUCUUUUAGAUACAAUAAUAUUAAUUUAUAAACAAGCUGCUUGCAAUAUUGUAAAACCACAAUUAAUGGAAAGUACUUUAAAGAAUACUUUUAAAACAGAUGAUGAUAAAUGUUUAAUAUUUUUAAAUGCAUGGUUUAUAUAUGGUAAAGGUAUAAUUGAUCAUUUUAGACAAAUGUCAAUAUUUCCUGUUCAGGUUAAAGAUAUUGAUUGGAGUUUAAAUAUUCAAGCUGCAUCUUCAAGUAUUAAAAAGGAUGUGCGACCAAUGGCAUUAUUGCAAUUAAAUUUAACAAGAGAAGACGAAUCUAAAUUAACACUGGAAUUUGAUAAAAAAGAACUUAUAGAUUUAUAUCAUAAUUUAGAGAGAAUACAAUUACAAUUGGAUACUUUUAAAUAAUAGAACAAGUGAUGCAUUGCCUAUUUCUUCAUCUGUGUGGGGAACAGUAAAUUUACACAUCCAUUUUCCUAAAUCCGAAUAAUUUGGUUUAAAUUCCAAGAAAAUUGAGUAUUCGGUGUACGUGUAUUUGCAUCAAAGACGAUGGGAAUCAGAAACAAGUUGCAAUGAUGUUUUUGUAUUAUUAUUUAUUUAAAGAAAUGGUUUACAAUGCCGGAGAGACUGACACUCAAACGCGCACGUACGAUCCACCGAUCACACCUCGGUGCAGAUUCUUGAAUUGUUCACGUUGGAAACUUAACAAUAAUUCAAUGGCACACGAAGGUGAUGGUCGAUCGAGUGACAGCAAUGAAAACGCAAUAUCAUCCGAAACGAAGAUAAAUAUUUCAAAUGGGACGCUUAACAGUAAGGAUUGUCUUAGCGUUAAUUUUAACAUGUGGCUGUUAUAUAUAAUGAGCAUCAGCAGUAAAGUGGAUAUCGUAGUAUUCUAAUUAAAAAAAAAGAACCUGUUUCUUCGUGAAGUUUUUUUGUAAUGUCAUCGGCACGUUGACUUCUUGUUUAGCAACACGUUGGCUAUGGAAUUAGCCAACUGAUUCGUUAACGGUUCUGUAACGAGUCUAAUCGUUAUUAGCACACUGGAGUCUCUUAAACGAUUUAUUUCGCUUAACAAAUAAAUAUUCUUAAUCUUAAACGUUAAA